rnacentral:rRNA from 1 species
UACGGGGGGGGCAAGCGUUGUUCGGAAUUACUGGGCGUAAAGGGCGCGUAGGCGGCCUUCUAAGUCGGACGUGAAAUCCCUCGGCUUAACCGAGGAACUGCGUCCGAGACUGAAAGGCUUGAAUCCGGGAGAGGGAUGUGGAAUUCCAGGUGUAGCGGUGAGAUGCGUAGAUAUCUGGAGGAACACCGGUGGCGAAGGCGGCAUCCUGGACCGGCAUUGACGCUGAGGCGCGAAAGCUAGGGGAGCAAACGGG